AAAAAAAAAAAAAGGUUUAAAAUUGGACAUUUUGAAUGUUCUGAGAACAUAACUAAACUAAAAACUAAAUGGUAAUAUUAGAAAAACAUUCUUAGAACAGUGUUUGUUGGGUAGUAACUGCAUAGGAAGUUUUGCACCGGUCAGUGGCAUUCAAUAUUUCUGCAGAAAUGUAGAAAUCUGAGUCAUUGUUUUUUCAUCAAUGUUAUUUACUAUUUCAUCAGUAUUUUUUAUUUAUUUAUUUAUUUUAUUUUAUUUUUUAUUUUUUUGGCAUUUUUCCUAAUGCAAAACUUCAAAACAACAGGGUUUUUAUAGGUAACUAAAACCAUAAAAAAUAUUUUCAUUACAUUAAAUAAAAAUGAAGGAAUUUUAUUUCAGCUAGUUGACAAAAUAUGUAUAUAUGCUAAAACAACUCAAACUAAAAUGGAAAUAAAAUGAACAAAAGCUAUACAUUAAAAAGCCUUUCUGUCAUUAAAAUAAUGACAGAACCACACAACAAAAUGACUAAAACUUGAACUAAAAAUAAUGCCUCUCAGAUGCCUGUCUUUGUGACGUCACACUGGCAGGCCCCUCCCACGAUAGUUUGAUUGACAGUAGCGUUUCAGCACAGACCCGCCUUGAGUGACUGUCAUCAGUCCGCCAUUGUUUCACCGCCGGAGCAGAGGUAGACAAGAAUGACUCCUAAGCGAUCGAGGUGUUCUGUUGUUGGAUAUAAUAAUGAACAUAGCAGUCCUCAUUUACUCCCGACAUCUGAGCCGCUGAAGAUGCAGUGGAUUAUGUUUGUUUCUGAAGGGAAUGCACCCCCGAUCUGCCUAAAUGUGUCUAUGUUUGCGCAAAUCAUUUGUGAUCCAGCCUCACCUCUUGAAGAACAGGCGUGACGUCGGUGUGCGUCACGUAACCUUACUGUAGGAAACUCACUCUGUGUGUGUUUGUGUGAGGUUUCGUGACAGCACGCCUCGGCUCCAGUUAAGACAGAGACCUUCUGCUGAACAGGAUUUUGGGUAAACUGAGGGCGGGACGUUCAGAGAGCCAUUCCUCACUCUUCAGUCCCUCAGGGCAUGUACAGUAUGUGAGUUUACUGUCUUACAGGAAUCACUCAACAAGUGCUUUUGAGGGCUAUUUCACAAAAAGGUCAAUGCAUUCUCUUUUUU
ensembl:lncRNA